CCUCUUCUCUGCUUUCAGCAGUCUCGUCGCAGCUACAUCAAACACACCCGAGACGCAAACAGCUUCCCUGGUGACUUUGACAUGAUAGGAAGGUGCCCGGGAGAAUCCUCAUCAGGUGAGGUGUCCCCAUAACUCACUUUGAAUCGGAAAACACUGUUUAAAAAAAGAAGAAGAAAAGAAGAAAAAAAGAAGCCCUGGGGUGAAGAAAGGAAAAAUCUGAGAAAUGCCGCUUGCCCUGUUUACACUGUCUUUAAACCAUUCAUUACUGCCACUGGUCCUGAAGACCGAAUUCCAGCCCGCUGGUUCUCAUCACUGCUGCGGAUCUUUCCUGUCCCAAAGUCUUCAGGAACAAAUUCCAAAGUAGGGCUAACUCUAAGUUAAAAAUCAAAUCACAGCCAUCUACUCAACCAUCUUCAGCGAUUACUCAGGAAGGCGUAGGUUCAAAGCGCCUUUGACUAGAGAUCCGUGGGUCACAGUGUAAAACAUUCCCGCAGCCUUACACACACACACUCAAACACACAGGUUAACUGUAUUAUAGACUAUUUACCCCGUCUGAUUUGUCCCAAACUCUCUGUUUCACUUCUCUCUUUUGCUCUUUGCAGUGCUGGGGAUUAAACCCGGGGCCUCAUGUAUCCCAGGCAGAGCUAGCUAAACCAGUCUCAGCCCUCAAAAUUCUCAUAUUAAUAUGUAACCCAUGGAAAAAUUAUUACUAAUCUAUUUUUCUAUUGUUGUGUCAGGCCUUCAGAAUCCAGUGAGUUAUUUUACACUUAUAGUGCACCUCAGUUGGAACACUCAAGUUUCUGAUACCAAAAUGAAACAUCCUUUUUCUUUUCUUUUCUUUUUUUCCCCAAUGCUGGGUACUGAAUAUAGGGCCUUGCAUAUGCAUGCUAGUCAAGUGCUCUACCACUGAGCUGUAUUCCCAGCCUGAAAUGCCCUUUUAAAAUGAUAACUAUAGGGGCUGGAGAGAUGGCUCAGCGGUUAAGAACACUGGCUUCUCUUCCAGAGGACCCAGGUUCAAUUCCCAGCAACCACAACUCACAGCAGCUCACAACUGUCUGUAACUCUAGUUCCAGGGCAUUUGACACCCCCCCCCCCCCCCACACACACACACACACAUGCAGGCAAAACACCAAUGCACAUAAAAUAAAAAGAAAGAAAAAGGAAAGAAAAUGACAACAGCAGGGGCUGGAGAGACGGCUCAGCUCAGAGGUUAAGAACACUGGGUGAGUUCACUUGUCUUGAACCCAGUGACCUAAGUUUCAUCACCUGGACCCACAUGAUGGACAAUAGCUUCUGAAAGUUGUCUUCUCUCUCUCUCUCUCUCUCUCACACACACACACACACACACACACACACACACACACACACACACUAUGGUAUGAGUGUGCCACCCCACAGACAAAUAAAUCUGAAUGUAAUGAUAAUAGUAACAACUGUGUUACAAAAAUGUUUUACAUUACUGUACACACACACACACACACACACACACACACACACACACACACCCUGCCCAACACAAUCUCACAGGGCUGGUCUGGAAUUCACAACUACUUGUCCCUAGUACACCACUCUGCCCAGCUACUUCUACUCUACACACUGCUUUAGUUUCUUCCACCAUAUUGCCUGUUUUUACAUAUGAAUUUGAAUAAAAAUUGAAUGAACUUG